rfam:Populus trichocarpa scaffold_5_contig_175, whole genome shotgun sequence.
UUUGGACUUCUAGAAAUUGAUAGUGUUUGGGCUGCAGGACAGAUUCAGACUUCUCUGUUGUUGCUACAAUUUGGACUUAAAAACGGUCUUUUUAAAUCUUAGACUCCAUAUGAAAAUUUUAGGCCUAUGUCUUAGCUUUCCAUC